rnacentral:rRNA from 1 species
GAUGAACGCUGGCGGCGUGCUUAACACAUGCAAGUCGAACGGUGAACACGGAGCUUGCUCUGUGGGAUCAGUGGCGAACGGGUGAGUAACACGUGAGCAACCUGCCCCUGACUCUGGGAUAAGCGCUGGAAACGGCGUCUGAUACCGGAUACGAGUAGCGGCCGCAUGGUCAGUUACUGGAAAGAGUUUUUGGUUGGGGAUGGGGUCGCGGCCUAUCAGCUUGUUGGUGAGGUAAUGGCUCACCAAGGCGUCGACGGGUAGCCGGCCUGAGAGGGUGACCGGCCACACUGGGACUGAGACACGGCCCAGACUCCUACGGGAGGCAGCAGUGGGGAAUAUUGCACAAUGGGCGAAAGCCUGAUGCAGCAACGCCGCGUGAGGGAUGACGGCCUUCGGGUUGUAAACCUCUUUUAGCAGGGAAGAAGCGAAAGUGACGGUACCUGCAGAAAAAGCGCCGGCUAACUACGUGCCAGCCGCCGCGGUAA